GGCCAUCUCUAAGGCUGCCUACUAAGC
rnacentral:piRNA from 1 species